rnacentral:rRNA from 1 species
UGAACCGCAUGGUUCAAAAGUGAAAGACGGUCUUGCUGUCACUUAUAGAUGGAUCCGCGCUGCAUUAGCUAGUUGGUAAGGUAACGGCUUACCAAGGCAACGAUGCAUAGCCGACCUGAGAGGGUGAUCGGCCACACUGGAACUGAGACACGGUCCAGACUCCUACGGGAGGCAGCAGUAGGGAAUCUUCCGCAAUGGGCGAAAGCCUGACGGAGCAACGCCGCGUGAGUGAUGAAGGUCUUCGGAUCGUAAAACUCUGUUAUUAGGGAAGAACAUAUGUGUCAGUAACUGUGCACAUCUUGACGGUACCUAAUCAGAAAGCCACGGCUAACUACGUGCCAGCAGCCGCGGUAAUACGUAGGUGGCAAGCGUUAUCCGGAAUUAUUGGGCGUAAAGCGCGCGUAGGCGGUUUUUUAAGUCUGAUGUGAAAGCCCACGGCUCAACCGUGGAGGGUCAUUGGAAACUGGAAAACUUGAGUGCAGAAGAGGAAAGUGGAAUUCCAUGUGUAGCGGUGAAAUGCGCAGAGAUAUGGAGGAACACCAGUGGCGAAGGCGACUUUCUGGUCUGUAACUGACGCUGAUGUGCGAAAGCGUGGGGAUCAAACAGGAUUAGAUACCCUGGUAGUCCACGCCGUAAACGAUGAGUGCUAAGUGUUAGGGGGUUUCCGCCCCUUAGUGCUGCAGCUAACGCAUUAAGCACUCCGCCUGGGGAGUACGACCGCAAGGUUGAACUCAAAGGAAUUGACGGGGACCCGCACAAGCGGGGAGCAUGUGGUUUAAUUCGAAGCAACGCGAAGAACCUUACCAAAUCUUGACAUCCUUUGACAACUCUAGAGAUAGAGCCUUCCCCUUCGGGGGACAAAGUGACAGGUGGUGCAUGGUUGUCGUCAGCUCGUGUCGUGAGAUGUUGGGUUAAGUCCCGCAACGAGCGCAACCCUUAAGCUUAGUUGCCAUCAUUAAGUUGGGCACUCUAAGUUGACUGCCGGUGACAAACCGGAGGAAGGUGGGGAUGACGUCAAAUCAUCAUGCCCCUUAUGAUUUGGGCUACACACGUGCUACAAUGGACAAUACAAAGGGCAGCGAAACCGCGAGGUCAAGCAAAUCCCAUAAAGUUGUUCUCAGUUCGGAUUGUAGUCUGCAACUCGACUACAUGAAGCUGGAAUCGCUAGUAAUCGUAGAUCAGCAUGCUACGGUGAAUACGUUCCCGGGUCUUGUACACUCCGCCCGUCACACCACGAGAGUUUGUAACACCCGAAGCCGGUGGAGUAACCUUUUAGGAGCUAGCCGUCGAA